rnacentral:rRNA from 1 species
GAUGAACGCUGGCGGCGUGCCUAAUACAUGCAAGUCGAGCGAACGGACGAGAAGCUUGCUUCUCUGAUGUUAGCGGCGGACGGGUGAGUAACACGUGGAUAACCUACCUAUAAGACUGGGAUAACUUCGGGAAACCGGAGCUAAUACCGGAUGAUAUUUUGAACCGCAUGGUUCAAAAGUGAAAGACGGUCUUGCUGUCACUUAUAGAUGGAUCCGCGCUGCAUUAGCUAGUUGGUAAGGUAACGGCUUACCAAGGCAACGAUGCAUAACCGACCUGAGAGGGCGAUCGGCCACACUGGAACUGAGACACGGUCCAGACUCCUACGGGAGGCAGCAGUAGGGAAUCUUCCGCAAUGGGCGAAAGCCUGACGGAGCAACGCCGCGUGAGUGAUGAAGGUCUUCGGAUCGUAAAACUCUGUUAUUAGGGAAGAACAUAUGUGUAAGUAACUGUGCACAUCUUGACGGUACCUAAUCAGAAAGCCACGGCUAACUACGUG